GAGAGAGAGGAAGAGAUACAUACACACACACACACACACACACACACAUAUACAUUCAAUCCGCUGGGACACUCCCCAAAUGGCUGCAAGGACCAGGCUGGGCCAGGCAGAGGCCAGGAGCCAGGAACUCCAUCCAGGUCUCUCUCGUGGGUGCAGGGGCCCAAGCACUCGGGCCAUCCUCCGCUGCUCUCCCAGGAGUAUUAGCAGGGAGACGAAGUAGAGCAGCCAGGGCUUGAACCGGUGCCCAUAUGGGAUGCUGGCACUGAAGGCGGCAGUUUAACCUGCUGUGGCCCACAAUUUCCUUUACAGUUGUGUCAUUACGAUUUCAGAAAGGAGAAGAGAUAAAAGUCUAUUUUCAACCCAUUUUCCAUAGCCCUCAAGUCUUUGAGGAAUCAAAGGAGCUGUGCAGGGAAGCAGAGGGGAGCCUGUCUUCUACAAUCCCUGAGCCAAAACGACUGAGGCAGAAAUUAAAUCCGCAAAUCUUAAUAACUUUUUGAGCACUUAGAAACCUCAUGUAUGUCUCUGCGCGAAGUGUCUUCAUUCUCAAACAAGUCAUCAGUCCGGUGCUCAGGGUGAGUCCCUGGCCUGUGGUCCCUGAGAAGACCGGGCAGGGCUGGGCGGCCUCUGUGAGGGGCGCACUCUCAACACGGCGGCCCGGUGCGCGCCGCCGCAGGGUCGGGCCCGGGGGCUCCCGGCGGGGCCCAGCUCCUGGUCGGGACUGGCGGCGUGGUGCGGCAGGCCGCUGGUUAUUUUUCACUUUUGCCCUUGUCUUCCUUUGCUCUCUGCCGGGUGCGAGGCCGAGAGUCGCAGCUCCACAGCGCUCUGCCCGCUGCACCAGCGCUCUCUCCUGUUUUCCGCUGCCGCCAUGAGGCCAAAGCCAAAACGAGGAGAAAGGCGCGCGUGAGCCAGUCAUCUGGAAAUGGCAUCCCGGGAGAGCCAGUGGCUGCCUUGAGGUUGAGAAAUUAAGGUGAUGUGGGGCCGGCGCUGUAGCUCAGCAGGUUAACACCCUGGCCUGAAGCGCUGGCAUCCCAUAUGGGCGCCAGUUCGAGACCUGGCUGCUCCACUUCCCAUCCAGCUCUCUGCUGUGGCCUGGGAAAGCAGUGGAGGAUGGCCCAGGUUCUUGGGCCCCUGCACCUGUGUGGAAGAUCUGGAAGAAGCUCCUGGCUCCUGGCUUCGGAUUGGCUCAGCUCCGGCCAUUGCGGCCAUCUGGAGAGUGAAUCAGCGGAUGGAAGACUUCAUUCUCUGCCUCUCCUCUCUCUGUGUAACUCUGACUUUGAAAUAAAAUAAAUCUUUAAAAAUAAAAAGACUAUAACAGCAGUUUAAAAAAAAAGAAA